rnacentral:rRNA from 1 species
AUCAUGUUGAAACACAAGUUCUCAUUUGAUCACCAAAGUUAAGCAACAUUGAGCCUGGUCAGUACUCAGAUGGGUGACCACUGGGGAAUACCAUGUG